rnacentral:rRNA from 1 species
GACGAACGCUGGCGGCGUGCUUAACACAUGCAAGUCGAACGAAGUGGCGAACGGGUGAGUAACGCGUAAUUAACCUGCCCUUCAGAGGGGGACAACAGUUGGAAACGACUGCUAAUACCGCAUACUGAAGGAGGGGAUUGCGUCUGAUUAGCUAGUUGGAGGGGUAACGGCCCACCAAGGCGAUGAUCAGUAGCCGGUCUAGUAGGAUGAACGGCACCAUUGGGACUGAGACACGGCCCAGACUCCUACGGGAGGCAGCAGUGGGGAAUCUUCGGCAAUGGAGGAAAGUCUGACCGAGCAACUCCGCGUGGGUGAAGAAGGUUUUCGGAUCGUAAAACUCUGUUGUUGGAGAAGCGGUAUCUAACCAGAAAGCCACGGCUAACUACGUGCCAGCAGCCGCGGUAAUUC